AUACGUAGGGGGCGAGCGUUGUCCGGAAUGAUUGGGCGUAAAGGGCGCGUAGGCGGCCCGGUAAGUCUGGAGUGAAAGUCCUGUUUUUAAGAUGGGAAUUGCUUUGGAUACUGUCGGGCUUGAGUGCAGGAGAGGGAAGUGGAAUUCCCCGUGUAGCGGUGAAAUGCGUAGAGAUUGGGAGGAACACCAGUGGCGAAGGCGACUUACUGGACUGUAACUGACGCUGAGGCGCGAGAGUGUGGGGAGCAAACAGGAUUAGAUACCCUGGUAGUCCACACUGUAAACGAUGAAUGCUAGGUGUAGGGGGUAUCGACCCCUUCUGUGCCGCAGUCAACACAAUAAGCAUUCCGCCUGGGGAGUACGGCCGCAAGGUUGAAACUUAAAGGAAUUGACGGGG
rnacentral:rRNA from 1 species